rnacentral:rRNA from 1 species
UACACAAAUCCNAUGAAGCCGGACUGGGAUAGGGCCUCGCUGCCUUGCCCGUCUGGCGCCAUAUUCACCCAUGUCUUUUUGCGUACUACUUGUUUCCUUGGCGGGUCCGCCCGCCAAUUGGACCUUAUUCAAACCUUUUUUUCAGUUGCAAUCAGCGUCAGCAAAACAAAUGUAAUCAAUUACAACUUUCAACAACGGAUCUCUUGGUUCUGGCAUCGAUGAAGAACGCAGCGAAAUGCGAUAAGUAGUGUGAAUUGCAGAAUUCAGUGAAUCAUCGAAUCUUUGAACGCACAUUGCGCCCUUUGGUAUUCCAAAGCAUGCCUGUUCGAGCGUCAUUUGUACCCUCAAGCUUUGCUUGGUGUUGGGCGUCUUGUCUCUCUCCCGAGACUCGCCUUAAAAUCAUUGGCAGCCGGCCUACUGGUUUCGGAGCGCAGCACAUUAUUUGCGCUCUUGUCCAGCCGCGGUCGCGCGUCCAUGAAGCUUCUUUCAACCUUUUGACCU